CAUACUGGUCCAUAGUGGUUUCUGUUGCUCCAUACUGGUUUGUAAUGGUCCGCACUGGUCUAUACUGGCUCAUACUGGCCCAUACUGAUUUAUACUGGACUACUGGUUCACACUGGCCCACAGUGGUCCAUACUGGUUUAUACUGGUUUGUACUGGUCCAUACUGGUCUGUACUGGUUUAUAGCGGUCUGUACUGGCCUAUACCAUUUUAUAAUGGUUUAUACUGGUCCAUACGAGUCUAUAUUGGUUUGUAGUGGUUUAUACUGAACCAUAGUGGUUUAUACUGGUUUGUACUAGUCUGUAGUGGUUUAUAGUGGUUUAUAGGGGUCUGUACUGGUCCGUACUGGUCUGUACUGGUUUAUAGUGGUUUAUCCUGGUCCAUACUGGUUUAUAGUGGUCCGUACUGGUCUGUAUUGGUCUGUAGUGGUUUAUAGUGGUUUAUACUCGUCCAUACUGGUCCAUACUGGUUUGUACUUGUCCAUAUGGAUCUAUACUGGUCCAUACUGGUCCAUACUGGUCCGUGUCGGUGCUGUGCCCGCAGGAGCUGGCCCAGCUGCCCGAUUUCCCCAAGCUGCGGUUCCGUACUGGUUUAUACUGGUCUGUACUGGUUUAUACUGGUCUGUACUGGUUUAUACUGGUGCUGUGCCCGCAGGAGCUGGCCCAGCUGCCCGAUUUCCCCAAGCUGCGGUUCCGGCCGCGGGCGCCGCCGCCGCUGCAGCUGCUGGUGCCGGGUGCAGGCGCGGCUGCGCUGGACCUGCUGCAGCGGCUGCUGCGCUACCGCCCGCACCUGCGGCCACGGGCGGAACAGGUGGGCAACUGGGGGGACUGGGGGGGACUGGG
rnacentral:lncRNA from 1 species